ACACACAGUGAUUGUGUUUUUUUCCAUAAUAAAAUCAUACAAAAAAAAACCACAUCGAUUAUUACUAAAGGAAAACAUAUUUAAACGAGGACUACGUUCGCUGCACCCGGAAGUAUUAACAGAGUGAGCGCUCGUCGCUGCAACAACUCUUCGACCAGGUUGCUCCUUUCACAAAACACAAUGAACCACACAGAAGACCCCAAAACCACGAAUGUGCCACACAUCGUGAAAGAGGAGCUCCUGGCCUCGGGGAAAUGGGUGAAGCUGGAGAAGACCACAUACGUAGAUCCUGCAGGAAACACCAGGAUCUGGGAGACGGUGAGGAGGACCACCAGGCAAACCAACACUGAUGCAGAUGGUGUGGGCAUCAUCGCGCUGCUGAAGAGGACCCUGCACAAAGACUGCGUGGUGAUGGUGAAGCAGUUUCGGCCUCCUCUGGGAUGCUUCAGCCUGGAGUUUCCUGCAGGCUUGAUCGACGAGGGCGAGAGUGCGGAGGUGGCCGCGUUGAGGGAGCUGAAGGAAGAAACGGGCUACAAAGGCGAAGUGAUGGGAGUCACACCAGUCACCUGUCUGGACCCCGGCCUGUCCAACUGCACCACCCAGAUGGUCAUGGUCAACAUCAAUGGAGACGAAAUGGAGAAUAUCAACCCAACACAACAGCUAGGUGAGCAGCAUUGCCGUGUCUCACAUUUCAUCAACGCCAUCUCAAAAAUGUUUUUACAUCGUCCGACUAAAAAAGAACUUUGGGUAAAUCUUUAAUAUACAUGGUGCAUCAUCCUAUGUGUGACUGCUAUCUAGUGCUUACAUUCAUCAUUGCACCAUGUACCAAAUACAUUUGCUCCCAGGUUGAUAAGCACAACCAGCUUUAAUACAUACAUGAGUGUCAGGUUUAGGCACCGAACUAUCUAUUAAACAGAACCAGAAGCAAGGAAUCAGGCAGAGAGAGAGUUCAAUUUUGUUCAUGAGAACGCAUGGAGCUGCACACUCAGUUACAGUCUCACCCUACGCUCUGAGGAACAGCCCACAUGCUCUUCUAUUUAUUCAGUUUAGGAGUGCCCUAGUUACAUGGCUGAGGGAGGGGUCACACAUUAUGCCAGCAGCUCAGUACGCACAAUAUGUGAUUAUUCAGAACGGAAAUGUGCUGGGGGCCUUGUGAUAUUCGCCCUGGCUCUGCUUUGUCUGCCUGCUGUUGAUACGCCUUAUCUUCGUUGAGGUGCUGGUUCGUCCUUGGCUGUUAGCAGGCUGAAACACGGAAACAUCUGCGGCGAGGCAACUCCUAACUUGCAGUGGAAGAUAACAAGUUGUGUGCCUUUGCACCAAAAGAAAAGUACAGCUCGAGCACAAUAGAUAAUAACUAGAGCAACGGCCUUUAAGCAUAAGAGUUGUGUGAUAACUUAUAUAGAAUGAUUCUAACAUAAGGCGCACAGAAAAAGAAAGAAUUUUAAGUGCGCCUUGUAGUCCGAAAAAUACGGUAUUUGUUCUUACUUUGUCAAUUUCUUUCCAAAGCUUAUUUCCUGAAUCGUAUCAGGAAAUCUUCUGUAAUCUACGUGAAGGAGCCCAGAAUUGUUUUAGUUUUGGUAAUCGGCCUCCUUGACUACGAACUAGUCUGAAAAAAACCAUAUCGCUCCAUCGCCGACGAUGAUGUAAAUAAAAGUAGCAUUUCUUCCUCACAGAAGUACUCAAGUAAAAAGUAUGUUGCAUCAGAACUACCCUGACAAGUACAGUUUAUCCACAAAGUUACUGAAGUAAGUAAAAAAAAAAAAAGCCACUUCUGCACAUACAAAAUGACUAAAAAUGCAGGACGCCACUUUUUGAAACACGUCAUGCCACUUGCAUUUGAAAAUACAAAUGAUUUAUACAUAUUUUGUGGACUACAAAGCGCAGCGCUAUAUAAGCCACACCCAGUAUAUUUUAGAAGAAAAAUAUAUUUUCCAUAUAUUAGCAGAUACAAACGUUGUGAAAUGAGUUAUUUACACAGAAAUAUUCUGUAAAUGUUUAUUUACAUACCUUAAUUGUUUCCAAACGGUGUCUGUAACACGGCAGUAAAACGGGUGAUCAAACAAAACAGAAGUCAUGGUCGUGGCCGCAGAUAUAUGCGUUGUGAAAUUAGAUAUUUAUGUUUAUUUACAUACCGUAAUUGUUUCCAAACGGUGUUUGUAACAGGGCAGUAAAACGGCUGAUCAAACAAAACAGAAGUCAUGGUCAUGGAGCCACUAGCUGCGCAAGCUAGCUCUCCAAUCAACUAAACAGACUCAAUAACUCCACGCUGACGUUUUGGUGAAUUUACUGAGGAAUUAGUGAAAGUGAAACAAUACAGACAGAAUGUAAGUUAAUAAUACCAACACAGACACUCGUAAACGUGUUAGCAUAUUAGCUCAUGCUAACGAUAGCAAGUACACAUGCAUGAAAACACUCCUACAGACGUCACACAUGGGACGCUUUAGUAAUAAGAAUUGUUUUAGUUAUAUUGUAAAACUUACAAACCUUGCUUGGAGUGAUGAAUGAAGAAUCCAUACCAGUAAAAAGGCUAUGGACGGUUAAAAGACAGAACGGCACUUCUACUUCCGGUUGAAAGUUUUAAAUGGCAGGAAACACUUGCAGGCUUUCCCCCACUAACUGCAAGCUAGCUCUCCAAUCCGCUAAAACAGGGGUGCACAUCAUGUCAUUUUGUUUGGGUGGUUGCCAAAUGUAAAACACAUUUAUAAAAGCUGCACAAUUAUUGAUGGUGUGUCCACAAGGCUACAGUGUCAAAUUAACUACGGUACCAAAAAGUAGAUUUUACUGUAAAAACCUGGCAGCUCAGGCCCCAGAAAUGUACUGUAAAUACUUCAGUGGUAGCAUGUUUCCAUAUACAGUAAUGCACUGUAGAAACAGGGAAUGUAGACUUUACAGGUAAAAGUAGCAGAAUUUGUCAGUAAAAAAUAACAGUAACAGUUUAUAGCAAUGCAUCGUGAAAAUGGCCAAAGAUUUUACGGUAAAAAACUGGCAGAUCAGUCACUGGAAUUUGACAGUGGUACGGUUUUUCAAUUUACAGUAAUUUUGUAUAAAAAAAACGUGGUAAAUGUUGGUAACCCAGCCGCCACUUCUUUUGUGGUAAAAGCUAUAUAUCUUUUUUUACAGGCUAUAACUAGUUGCCUUUGAAAUUGAGACCCCUGCUCUACGGUAAAGUUGUGCCUUUUUGACGCUUUAUGGAAAAGACUGAUCUUGGUCGCCACGUGGUAUAUAUCCUCCAUACGUCUAACCUGGCUGGCUAUAGUUUGAAAGCCAUAGGUUACAGAACAACACCAGGAAAUGUCAAACAUCAGCAGAAAAUGUGAGGUUAAAAAUGUAGACAAAAGCUGAAUUAGACACACAACUUCUAUUUAUACGUAUAUGGCUGUGAGGCUAAAUUCCUCACUCAUGGUGCUGUGGACCAUUGGCAUAUUUUCACUUUGGCCCUUGGACGCAAAAGUUUGGGCACCCCUGAGUUAAACAGACUCAAUAACGCCACGUUUUGGUGAAUUUACUGAGGAAUUUGUGAAAGUGAAACAAUACAAACAGAAUCUAAGUUAAUAAUACUAACACAGACACUUGUAAACGUGUUAGCAUUUUAGCUAAUGCUAACAACACUAGCUUCAUUACAUUACAAUAGCACAUACAAGCAUGAAAACACUCCUACAGACAUCACACAUGGGACGCCUUAGUAAGUUUUAAUUGUUUUAGUUAUAUUGUAAAACUUACAAACGUUGCUUGGAGUGAUGAAUGAAGAAUUCAUACGAGUAGAACCGCUAUGGAUGGCUGGAAGACUGAACGGCACUUCUACUUCACCUGCAGUGAGCAAAGUUGUCCAAAAGAUGGCGCCAUAGCACAAACAAUAACACACCUUUUCAGUGUAUUUGCUUGUUUAGCAUAAUGGCCUCCAGCAAAGAAAAAUCCGUAAAUUAGCCGCACUGUUUUAUAAGCCGCAGGGUUAAACGUAGGAAAAAAGCAGAAGCUUAUAGUGCGGAACUGACGGUGCUUUUAAAGCCAAGAAAAGAAAUAAGAGGACACAAAGGAAGGCUGGGAUCUAUUGUAUCUCACUUGAAAUGGAAGAAUAAACUGUAUUGGAUUUGUCCCACGUCAUUGAACUCACCAUUUCUCGUGUUCCUCCACAGGUGACGGAGGUGAGUUGUCUCCUUUUUUGUUGGUUUUUCCACAACACAAACACUCCCACCAACUCUGACCUUUUUGUUCUGCACCCAGAAUUUGUGGAAGUCAUCCUUUUGCCUCUGGAUGAAUUCCAGACGAAACUAGACGAGCUGCUGAAGAAAGAGAAGAUCGUGGUGGAUGCCAAGGUUUACAUAUUCGCCAUGGGGAUGGUGCAGGCUUUUUUUAAGCCCAGGGAGCUCCCUGUGCUUAAGCAGUGAAAUGAAGAUCUUGGCAACUAUUACUACACAGGACUUAACACCGUUUUAUUUGCUCCAUGUGAUGUCAUGUUCAAGUACAGACAAGCCAGUACCGACUAUUAGUGCAACUUUUUUAAAUCAUUCCUACAUCUUAGGUCUUUGAAUGUCUCAUUUCACCUAACAUAGGAAUAGUUCAAUGUUCCAUAUGUUUACAACAGGGACACAAAGUAGUUUUUUUAGUAUUUGCAAUGUUGUUUGUGAUUGUUACCUUCCUUAAUGUGCUAACAUAGUGUUAUUCAGCAAAAACCCUUAAAAGGGUUUUCAAUAAUAGUAUUCAAAGUUUGGCUCCAAAUUUUGAAUGCACAUGUAUUAUUUUAAACAUGAAUAAUGAUGUUCAUUCCAUCAUUAUCUUUUAAUGCUUGAACGUCGCUGGCCUCCUUCAGUCAUACUGUAAGAUGCAACAGAAGUAAACAAACCAUGCUGUGGUUCAAGGGCUCCAUCUCACUGAUGCUGUAGUUACCGUAGCGACGAGCUGACUAAUAAAUGUAUUACUACCUA